rnacentral:rRNA from 1 species
UUGGUGAGGUAAUGGCUCACCAAGGCGACGACGGGUAGCCGGCCUGAGAGGGCGACCGGCCACACUGGGACUGAGACACGGCCCAGACUCCUACGGGAGGCAGCAGUGGGGAAUAUUGCACAAUGGGCGAAAGCCUGAUGCAGCGACGCCGCGUGAGGGAUGACGGCCUUCGGGUUGUAAACCUCUUUCAGCAGGGAAGAAGCGAAAGUGACGGUACCUGCAGAAGAAGCGCCGGCUAACUACGUGCCAGCAGCCGCGGUAAUACGUAGGGCGCAAGCGUUGUCCGGAAUUAUUGGGCGUAAAGAGCUCGUAGGCGGCUUGUCACGUCGGGUGUGAAAGCCCGGGGCUUAACCCCGGGUCUGCAUUCGAUACGGGCUAGCUAGAGUGUGGUAGGGGAGAUCGGAAUUCCUGGUGUAGCGGUGAAAUGCGCAGAUAUCA